UGGAACCUUUUCAUGAAAUAACUAACUUGAUUUCUGGUUCAAGUUAUCCGACCUCCAACUUGUACUUUAUGCAAGUUUGGAAAAUUGAAUGCAUGCUGAUGGAGAAGGCACAGAAUCCAGAUGGAGUUAUUAAGGAAAUGGCUUCAAGAAUGUCCAAGAAGUUUGAUAAAUAUUGGAGUAAAUAUAGUGUAGUGCUUGCCUUUGGAGCAAUCCUUGAUCCUCGCUUGAAGUUGCAACUUUUAAGGUAUUGCUACUCUAAGGUAGAUGAUGCUUCGCACAAGAGAAGGUUGAAACUAUGAAAAAAUUGUACAAGCUCUAUGAAUAUUAUGUAAAUAGUCAAAUUGGAGCAACUACUUCUACUAUUUUGUGUAAACCAACUCAAGAAAGAAGCCGAUCCAAACAAAAGGAAUCCAGAUUAUUUGAUGAAUUUAAAAUGUUCGAGAGUGAAUCUUUUUGCAAUCUUUGGAAAGUCAGAAUUGGAUCUUUAUUUGGAGGAACAAAAGCUGGAUUAUGAGAAGUUUCAUGGGAUGGAUGUUAUUAAGUAUUGGAAGGAAAAUGAAAGGAAAUAUCCCGACCUUUCAGUGAUGGCACGUGAUGUACUCGGUGUUCCAAUUACUACCGUAGCAUCGAAUCGGCGUUUAGUAUUGGUGGUCGUGUUGUUACCAAGUACGAAGUUGUAUCCAUCAUGAGAAUGUCCAAACUCUUGUUACUACAAGAAAUUGGUUGCAUGGAUUUACUUGGCCUAAUGCUGAUGAAGAUGAAGCUGUUAAGGAAUCGAUACCUCAUGUUGAUUCAAAUGUGCUCGAUGGUUCUGGUCCUUCUGGAUAUGUUAUAGCUGCAAGUUGAAAUGAAGUUGUUAAGCUUUAAUUGACUAGUUUUUUUAAUUUUAACUCGUUAGGAUUUUAUUUUUGUAUUUAAGACGAAAUUCUAGUGCAAGAUUUGUAUAUUUUUUGGAUUAUCAAACUGUAGAAGUUUGCUUGCUAAAUGUUGACCGAUUGGUUACUAUGUUUUAACUCAUUCUUUUGCUUGAUAUUAAUUACUAUUAUCUUAUAUAAUACACUUGUUAUUAAAGUGAAGACCUAUAAUGGUUGGUGAUUUUCCAGUGGCUAUCUUGCUUACUGCUUGGUAAUCACGUAAGAUGGUAGCAGUUUUGAAUUGAUCAUUUUUUAUGCAAUUUGUACUGUGGUACGCAAAUGAAGACAGGUUGUGACUUUUUUUUUUUCCGUUUUUGAUGUCUCAGUUUACUUUCAAUUUCUAUUGAAGGGCCAACCCGUCCUAACCCGUGGCCCGCUUAGGGCUGGGUUGGGCUGCCAGUUUGAAGGCCCUUCAAUAAAAAGGGCUAGCCCGUCCUAACCCAUUUAACUCCCUAGCCCGUUAGGGUUGG